rnacentral:rRNA from 1 species
GACGAACGCUGGCGGCGUGCCUAAUACAUGCAAGUCGAGCGGAGUUGUUCCUUCGGGGAUAGCUUAGCGGCGGACGGGUGAGUAACACGUAGGCAACCUGCCCCUUAGUCUGGGAUAACGUCGGGAAACCGAUGCUAAUACCGGAUAGGUGGUUCCUUUGCAUGAAGGGAUCUGGAAAGACGGAGCAAUCUGUCACUGGGGGAUGGGCCUGCGGCGCAUUAGCUAGUUGGUGGGGUAAUGGCUCACCAAGGCGACGAUGCGUAGCCGACCUGAGAGGGUGAUCGGCCACACUGGGACUGAGACACGGCCCAGACUCCUACGGGAGGCAGCAGUAGGGAAUCUUCGGCAAUGGGCGAAAGCCUGACCGAGCAACGCCGCGUGAGUGAUGAAGGCUUUCGGGUCGUAAAACUCUGUUGCCAGAGAAGAACGUCGGGUAGAGUAACUGCUAUCCGAGUGACGGUAUCUGAGAAGAAAGCCCCGGCUAACUACGUGCCAGCCGCCGCGGUAA